rnacentral:rRNA from 1 species
CACGUAGGGCGCGAGCGUUGUCCGGAAUUAUUGGGCGUAAAGAGCUCGUAGGCGGCCUGUUGCGUCCGCUGUGAAAGCCCGGGGCUUAACCCCGGGUCGGCAGUGGGUACGGGCAGGCUAGAGGUAGGUAGGGGAGAAUGGAAUUCCCGGUGUAGCGGUGAAAUGCGCAGAUAUCGGGAGGAACACCGGUGGCGAAGGCGGUUCUCUGGGCCUUACCUGACGCUGAGGAGCGAAAGCGUGGGGAGCGAACAGG